rnacentral:rRNA from 1 species
AGGGAGUUUGAUCCUGGCUCAGGAUGAACGCUGGCGGCGUGCUUAACACAUGCAAGUCGAACGGAGUGUAAACGCUGAAGCGAUUUCGGUCAAUUCUUGUUUAUACUUAGUGGCGGACGGGUGAGUAACGCGUGGGUAACCUGCCGUAUGCAGGGGGACAACAGUUGGAAACGACUGCUAAUACCGCAUAAGCGCACAGAUAGGCAUCUAUCAGUGUGAAAAGAAUUUCGGCAUACGAUGGACCCGCGUCUGAUUAGCUAGUUGGUGAGGUAACGGCCCACCAAGGCGACGAUCAGUAGCCGGCCUGAGAGGGUGAACGGCCACAUUGGGACUGAGACACGGCCCAAACUCCUACGGGAGGCAGCAGUGGGGAAUAUUGGACAAUGGGGGAAACCCUGAUCCAGCGACGCCGCGUGAGUGAAGAAGUAUUUCGGUAUGUAAAGCUCUAUCAGCAAGGAAGAAAAUGACGGUACUUGACUAAGAAGCUCCGGCUAAAUACGUGCCAGCAGCCGCGGUAAUACGUAUGGAGCAAGCGUUAUCCGGAUUUACUGGGUGUAAAGGGAGCGUACACGGCAUAGCAAGUCUGAAGUGAAAUCCCGGGGCUCAACCCCGGAACUGCUUUGGAAACUGUUAAGCUGGAGUGCAGGAGAGGUAAGCGGAAUUCCUAGUGUAGCGGUGAAAUGCGUAGAUAUUAGGAGGAACACCAGUGGCGAAGGCGGCUUACUGGACUGUAACUGACACUGAGGGACGAAAGCGUGGGUAGCAAACAGAAUUAGAUACCCUGGUAGUCCU